GAGUGUCAUAGUUGUGCGAUAUAGAUCAAGUAACGAAUCGUUUCAAAGUAUUUCGUAAUCCUAACACCACGCAAAGGUGCUGAUCUCGAUUUUUAAACGGUUGUCACACAAUU
ensembl:snoRNA C06A1.9 ncRNA